GACGAACGCUGGCGGCGUGCUUAACACAUGCAAGUCGAACGGAAAGACCCUGCUUUUGUUGGGUGCUCGAUUGGCGAACGGGUGAGUAACACGUGAGUAACCUGUCCUUGACUUUGUGAUAAAUUUAGGAAAAUGGGGAGAAUACCGGAUAGGAUCUCUUGCUGCAUGUGGGUGGUUGGAAAGUUUCGGCGGUUGGGGAUGGACUCGCGGCUUAUCAGCUUGUUGGUGAGGUAGGGGCUUACAAAGGCUUUGACGGGUAGCCGGCAUGAGAGGGUGACCGGCCACAUUGCGACUGAGAUACGGCCCAGACUCCUACGGGAGGCAGCAGUGGGGAAUAUUGCACAAUGGGCGGACGCCUGAUGCAGAAACGCCGCGUGCGGGAUGACGGCCUUCGGGUUGUAAACCGCUUUCGCCUGUGACGAAGCGUGCGUGACGGUAAUGGGUAAAGAAGCAACGGCUAACUACGUG
rnacentral:rRNA from 1 species